rnacentral:lncRNA from 1 species
GGCGCCCUGUGCCCGCUCCCGCACCAGGACAAGGGAGAGAGUGAGGCGGCCUUGCCCGCAAGGGAAAAGCGAAAGGAGGAGGAGGAAAGGGAGCCUUGCUCCUUCCGUUUUUGGGCGGCGAGGCUGGAGAGGCGCGUGGGAUUGGCGUCGCCGCGUUGGCGGCUUGUGGCAUGCGGAGGCGGGGCCAUGGUGACGCAGCGGAUGACAGCGAAAAGGGAGGAGGGCUGGUUUGGCGGCGAGCGCGGACCAAGGCGACGACCUUGUCCAACGGGCGGUGAGGUCAACGAGGCAGAACCACUGUUUGGUGGCUUUGAACUUUUUGGUCCAGAUACGUUGGGAAGGCUUGUUGUUGGUUGGACUCAAGACAUAGGUGGUGUGUUCCAGCUGGACAAGGGAGAGAGCGAGGCGGCCUUGCCCGCAAGGGAAAAGCGAAAGGAGGAGGAGGAAAGGGAGCCUUGCUCCUUCCGUUUUUGGGCGGCGAGGCUGGAGAGGCGCGUGGGAUUGGCGUCGCCGCGUUGGCGGCUUGUGGCAUGCGGAGGCGGGGCCAUGGUGACGCAGCGGAUGACAGCGAAAAGGGAGGAGGGCUGGUUUGGCGGCGAGCGCGGACCAAGGCGGUCGACGUGGCAGGGGUGACGGUGGCGCG